UGAGGGUGAAUGUUAAGCCAGGAUGCUGAAGUAAGAAUCAAGAAUCUUUCAGCAACACUGGUGACACUGUGAUGUGAUGCUAUGGGGUGGAGCUUCAGGAAUCUUUAUGAUGUUAAAAUAUCAGAGUACAGAAAGAAUAUUUUCAUUUGCUGAGACCAUUCAUCAUGUUCACCAUUAUAUUCACAUGUCUGUGGCUUUCACUGGGUGACUCCAUGGCAGAUCCAAUAGAGCCACUUGUUAGUCACAACGUUGUAGAUGAAGGUGAUAAUGUUACUCUGUCCUGCAGCUACAAAGGCUUCACUGGAAGCAUAUAUAGUGUGCAAUGGUACAGGCAAUAUCCAAAAUCUAAACCCGACUUCCUUCUUCAUAUUACUCCAAGUGGAGAGCUAAGUCUGAACAUCCCACCACGAAUGUCUGCUAACGUUAAUGGAGAGAAACAAGUGGAUCUGCUCAUUUUCUCCACUGCUGUAUCAGACUCUGCACUAUACUACUGUGCUCUGGCGCCCACAGUGACAGGAAAUCCAACUGCGCUGUACAAAAACUUUGACACAGUUUUGUUAUAUUGAAAGCAGUUUUGCCAAUAAUUUUGAGGAAUGUACAUGCUAUUUUGG